rnacentral:rRNA from 1 species
GAUAAACGCUAGCGGCAGGCCUAAUACAUGCAAGUCGAGGGGUAGAAGAGGCUUGCUUCUUUGAGACCGGCGCACGGGUACGUAACGCGUAUGCAACCUACCUUCAUCUGGGGGAUAGCCCGGAGAAAUCCGGAUUAAUACCGCAUAAAAUCACAGGAUGGCAUUAUCCAAUGAUCAAACAUUUAUGGGAUGGAGAUGGGCAUGCGUGUCAUUAGCUAGUUGGCGGGGUAACGGCCCACCAAGGCGACGAUGACUAGGGGAUCUGAGAGGAUGGCCCCCCACACUGGUACUGAGACACGGACCAGACUCCUACGGGAGGCAGCAGUGAGGAAUAUUGGUCAAUGGAGGCAACUCUGAACCAGCCAUGCCGCGUGCAGGAAGACUGCCCUAUGGGUUGUAAACUGCUUUUAUUCGGGAAUAAACCUUAUUACGUGUAAUAAGCUGAAUGUACCGAAGGAAUAAGGAUCGGCUAACUCCGUGCCAGCCGCCGCAGUAA